rnacentral:RNase_P_RNA from 1 species
GCAGGCCGGGUGACCGCGGGCUUCACGGCUCGAGGAAAGUCCGGACACCGAAGGGCAGGACGCUGGGGCGACCUAGGCGGCGAAAGCCGACGGAAAGUGGCACAGAAAGGAGACCGCCUGCAGCGAUUCUCCGGAGACGCUGAAGGUAAGGGUGAAAAGGUGGGGUAAGAGCCCACCAGCGUCGUGGCGACACGGCGGCUAGCCAAACCCCGUCCGGUGCAAGGCAAACAGGUCCCGCCAUCAGGCGGCCCGCCGAGGGACCGGGUUGCUGCACAGAGGGAUGGUCACCGCAAACAGAAUCCGGCUUACGGGCCUGCUAAC